rnacentral:rRNA from 1 species
CCUACGGGGGGCAGCAGUGGGGAAUUUUGGACAAUGGGCGCAAGCCUGAUCCAGCCAUGCCGCGUGUCUGAAGAAGGCCUUCGGGUUGUAAAGGACUUUUGUCAGGGAAGAAAAGGCUGUUGCUAAUAUCGACAGUUGAUGACGGUACCUGAAGAAUAAGCACCGGCUAACUACGUGCCAGCAGCCGCGGUAAUACGUAGGGUGCGAGCGUUAAUCGGAAUUACUGGGCGUAAAGCGAGCGCAGACGGUUACUUAAGCAGGAUGUGAAAUCCCCGGGCUCAACCUGGGAACUGCGUUCUGAACUGGGUGACUAGAGUGUGUCAGAGGGAGGUAGAAUUCCACGUGUAGCAGUGAAAUGCGUAGAGAUGUGGAGGAAUACCGAUGGCGAAGGCAGCCUCCUGGGAUAACACUGACGUUCAUGCUCGAAAGCGUGGGUAGCAAACAGGAUUAGAUACCCGGGUAGUC